CCUGGAGGGGGGAAGGGAAAAAGGAUUAUUUCCCUUUGUUGUGAGACUCAAGGGAUUUGGGUCUUGGGGUCCCCAGGGAAGGUUUUUUGGGGGACCAGAGUGCCCCAAAACACUCUAAUUUUUUGGGUGGUGGCAGCAGUACCAGGUCCAAGCUGGUAACUAAGCUUGGAGGUUUUCAUGCUAACCCCCAUAUUUUGGACGCUAAGGUCCAGAAUUGGGAAUUA